UACGUAGGGUGCGAGCGUUAUUCGGAAUUACUGGGCGUAAAGCGUGCGCAGGCGGUUUUGUAAGUCAGAUGUGAAAUCCCCGGGCUCAACCUGGGAACUGCGUUUGAAACUACAAGGCUAGAGUGUAGCAGAGGGGGGUGGAAUUCCACGUGUAGCAGUGAAAUGCGUAGAGAUGUGGAGGAACACCGAUGGCGAAGGCAGCCCCCUGGGUUAACACUGACGCUCAGGCACGAAAGCGUGGGGAGCAAACAGG
rnacentral:rRNA from 1 species